rnacentral:misc_RNA from 1 species
UACGGAGGGUGCAAACGUUGUUCGGAAUCAUUGGGCGUAAAGCGCGCGUAGGCGGCCAUGCAGGUCGGGUGUGAAAUCCCAGGGCUCAACCCUGGAAUUGCGCUCGAAACCGUGUGGCUUGAGUCCCGGAGGGAGAAGUGGAAUUCCAGGUGUAGGGGUGAAAUCCGUAGAUAUCUGGAGGAACACCAGUGGCGAAGGCGACUUCUUGGCCGAGGACUGACGCUGAGGUGCGAAAGUGUGGGGAGCAAACAGG